rnacentral:lncRNA from 1 species
GGGGACAGGGCGAGGGGAGCGGGGCGUGAGGAAGUUGUGGGAAACCGCGCUGGACGCUGAGAAUGUGCGGAAGGAUCCUGAGGGGAGGACGCGGGACAGCGCGAGGAGAGACGAGGAGAGUUAGGGUUGGCCGGGAGGGUGCGAAGAUGACGCGACCACUGGAGGCUGUGAGGGUGAAAGGAGCAAGAAUCGUCUAGAGACGGGCUGGGCCGGUGCUGGGGCCAAAGGCUUCUGUCUGUCAGGCCCUUUUUGGCGCUCACUCUAGAAAGAAGAGGCGGAGACGCGAAGAGAUCGGGUUAGAGUCAGAUUUUCGAAGCACGGAGAUGGGUUCAAUGAAAGGACGAGGAAAGACGAGAAACCAGCGGCCGGAGAGAACGGAGAGUUCAACAAUUUUUAUGAAUUUCUAAUCCAACCUCAUCAUCCUAUGGGAAACAGAAGACCACCAAGAACAGCCAGCUGAGACAGAAUUUCACUGUGUUACCCAAGCCAAUCUUAAACUCCUGGUCUCAAGCGAUCCUCCUGCCUCGGCCUCCCACUGUGCCUGGCCUAGGGACUCUGAAUUUUUU